AUUGAACGCUGGCGGCAGGCUUAACACAUGCAAGUCGAGCGGGGGAAGGUAGCUUGCUACCGGACCUAGCGGCGGACGGGUGAGUAAUGCUUAGGAAUCUGCCUAUUAGUGGGGGACAACAUCUCGAAAGGGAUGCUAAUACCGCAUACGUCCUACGGGAGAAAGCAGGGGAUCUUCGGACCUUGCGCUAAUAGAUGAGCCUAAGUCGGAUUAGCUAGUUGGUGGGGUAAAGGCCUACCAAGGCGACGAUCUGUAGCGGGUCUGAGAGGAUGAUCCGCCACACUGGGACUGAGACACGGCCCAGACUCCUACGGGAGGCAGCAGUGGGGAAUAUUGGACAAUGGGGGGAACCCUGAUCCAGCCAUGCCGCGUGUGUGAAGAAGGCCUUAUGGUUGUAAAGCACUUUAAGCGAGGAGGAGGCUACUUUAGUUAAUACCUAGAGAUAGUGGACGUUACUCGCAGAAUAAGCACCGGCUAACUCUGUGCCAGCAGCCGCGGUAAUACAGAGGGUGCGAGCGUUAAUCGGAUUUACUGGGCGUAAAGCGUGCGUAGGCGGCUUAUUAAGUCGGAUGUGAAAUCCCCGAGCUUAACUUGGGAAUUGCAUUCGAUACUGGUGAGCUAGAGUAUGGGAGAGGAUGGUAGAAUUCCAGGUGUAGCGGUGAAAUGCGUAGAGAUCUGGAGGAAUACCGAUGGCGAAGGCAGCCAUCUGGCCUAAUACUGACGCUGAGGUACGAAAGCA
rnacentral:rRNA from 1 species